rnacentral:rRNA from 1 species
GUCCACGCCGUAAACGAUGUCUACUAGCCGUUGGGGCCUUUGAGGCUUUAGUGGCGCAGCUAACGCGAUAAGUAGACCGCCUGGGGAGUACGGUCGCAAGACUAAAACUCAAAUGAAUUGACGGGGGCCCGCACAAGCGGUGGAGCAUGUGGUUUAAUUCGAUGCAACGCGAAGAACCUUACCUGGCCUUGACAUAGUAGAAACUUUUCCAGAGAUGGAUUGGUGCCUUCGGGAGCUUACAUACAGGUGCUGCAUGGCUGUCGU